rnacentral:rRNA from 1 species
AGUGAACGCUGGCGGUAGGCCUAACACAUGCAAGUCGAACGGCAGCACAGUAAGAGCUUGCUCUUACGGGUGGCGAGUGGCGGACGGGUGAGGAAUACAUCGGAAUCUACUUUUUCGUGGGGGAUAACGUAGGGACACUUACGCUACUACCGCAUACGACCUACGGGUGAAAGCAGUGGAUCUUCGGACCUUGCGCGAUUGAAUGAGCCGAUGUCGGAUUAGCUAGUUGGCGGGGUAAAGGCCCACCAAGGCGACGAUCCGUAGCUGGUCUGAGAGGAUGAUCGGCCACACUGGAACUGAGACACGGUCCAGACUCCUACGGGAGGCAGCAGUGGGGAAUAUUGGACAAUGGGCGAAAGCCUGAUCCAGCCAUACCGCGUGAGUGAAGAAGGCCUUCGGGUUGUAAAGCCCUUUUGUUGGGAAAGAAAAGCAGCAGGUUAAUACCCCGCUGUUCUGACGGUACCCAAAGAAUAAGCACCGGCUAACUUCGUG